ACAUGUUUUCACAUCACGGCUACUUUGGUGACAGUUUGUUAGCUAAAUUAUAUAGCAUGAUACAUAUCCCUGCUUGAGUGUGCGAGCAUACUUGACCAAUAAAACUGAUUCUGAAUCUGAUUCAGAAAAAUGGCAGUGAUCCGUACGGAAGCCGAAGGAAUCGACUCAUAUUGAAGAGCUAAGCCAAAGGAUUCGGUUCACUUAAAAGAGCCAGUGCUUUCCAUCAUUGAAGGAAGUGAAGUGCGCGGUGAAAAAGCAUCAUAAUGGACGCUACAGUGGCAUGUAAUAAUUGUGGCUUACCGUACACGUUGUCUGAGGGUGAGGUUGUGGGGAGGCUGCCCCAUGUGCUCUUCUGUGUGGAGUGUCUCUGGUCUCUGGAGUGUCCUCAGGACUCCAACUCUGUCCCCUCAGUCAGCUGUCCCGAGUGUAGGGUGAGCACUGUUCACAACUCCUGUCCAUGCAGCCAUCACUCCCUUACUGCGCUACAGCAUGUCAACCAGCUUUCACAACUCUUUUUAGGGAAAGUAGCUAAAGCAUGCUCAAUUUGUCACCAGAUGACACCAUAGACUAAUUUUUUCUAAUUACCUAUGAUAUGGCAAUGAAUAUUACUAACUAGUUUUAAAGAGAAAGAGAGGCAGAUAGGGUGCCGAUACUUGUAGAGUUGCAUAGAUAUAUCAUGAACAUGCACAUUUUUUAAACGUGUCUACAAAUGAAGAAGGCAGGCAAAAAGAAGUCGUGAAAGACGGUUUUUGCUAUGUGGGCCAAUCUCAGCUGAAAGCAGGUGUACUUGCGGCAGGUCCAUACUCUGUGUAGCGGUGUGUAUCUGCUUUUUCGAGUUUGUUAAGUCACAGACGGGCCACAGCUAAAAUUAAGGAGCUCAGCCGCCUGGAAAACACUUUUGACGGUUAAAUCAGUUAGGAUACUCGAGGCUGCAGUCAUUCUUCGUUUUCAAGAGGAAUCAUUUCAGCUGAAGAAGCCAUGCUGAGGGAGGUGUUAACUAAAUUAGAGAUGGUGCUGGACCAACAAACCACUGAGAUUGCUUCAACUACAGGAGGUCCAGGUGCAGCCUUUGGAUAUUGAUGAAGAUUUACUGCCCCUGCAAGACCUUCCUCAACUGUGUAGUCUGAAGCGAAGGAUGCAACAGAGCCCAGAUUAGAAGCAAAAUCUGUUCAUAGAAACCUCUUUACGGCUAAUGCUGCAGAGAUGGAGGUCGAGAGGACCAUGAAGAGGUGGCUCCAGCUGGCAUCAGAUCAAGAGUGUGGGUGCAAGAGAAGUCUUUUGCAAAAGGAAGCUGGGUGGGUACACAGUUGCGGUCGGAAGUUCACAUACCCCUUGCUGAAUCUACAAAAUAUUAAUGCUCUUAACAAAAUAACAUUGAUCCUGUGCAAUCGUUGGGAACUACAUUGUGCGAAAUGUCCGCGUCGCUUCAACAAAGGGUAAGGUGCACACACAGUUUUUCUUUUGCUUGUGUCCUUGAUGUCGCUGAGCAGCUACCAGGAAUCCUGAAGAAGGACGAGUGCAUUGGAGCAGUCGUGCCACAUGCGGGGGCAAACAUCAGGCUGCGGCAGACGGAGGUUCUGAAGAGGGACUUCGCCAGCCUGAUCGAGACGGUACGAGGCAGAUCACCCACCGCGAAGAUCAUCGUCUCUGGACCUCUUCCCUCAUACAGAUGUGGAGCUGAAAAGUUCAGUAGACUUCUAGCAUUAAAUGAUUGGUUAGUUUCUUGGUGUAAUUAACAGGAAUCUGCUGUUUGUUAAUAACUGGAAUCUGUUCUGGGAGCGUCCUAGGUUGUUUCGUCCUGAUGGCCUGCACUCCAGCAGCUUCGGAGCGGAACUGCUGUCAGACAACAUCUCCAAGACACUACAAACCAAGUGACUGCCUACCGUCAAAUUAUUCGUAAACAUGGAAUGAACUUCCACUGUUAUGCUGAUGAUACAGAGCUGUAUGUUUGCAACUGAACAAUAACAACAAUAAACAACAACUGAAGAAUAGCGAAAAACUCCAACUGUUUUCGUGCUUACUUGAAGACGAUGAGGCGGAGCAGCAUCGGAGAGACAGUUCGCUCCAUUCUCCAAAGAAUCGGGGAGAACAGUCUGUGGUGUAUGUUUUCGUUGAAAGCGCCAAAAGGUGGGAAGCUGGCUUUGACUGAUCAGGAUGAAGUGUAUGGCCUUGUACACUAUAUUGCCGAACAAGCACAUGGACGUGAAUAUACUGUUGCCGGUUGCAGAGAGGCCAUCGGCAGGUACCUAAAAAAAUGCCCCAGGCAGGAAAAGUGGCAAGAAACACAUUAUGAGUGUUUAUGAUGAAGCAGAGCUACAUGGGAUCUCUAGUGCGUCCUGCAAGAAUUGGGCCUUAGUCCAGUUCAGAUUCAAUUUUGUAAUUCCUCUCCCUCGCGUGACAGCCUCCAAACAGUACAAUUCUAAUGAGCUUGAAUAUACGGAGAAUUCCAUUGGGUUUGAUGUCUGACUAAUAAUUUUUUUUCUUUGAUUAGCAAUACAUAGGAACUAUAUCUGGCUAUUUUGUGUGUUACAAUAUUGAAUGUCAUUUUUCAGCUUUUAACUUCGUCUGCAUUUACUAAAAUUCAUGCAUUUUUAUUAAAAAUAUUCAUGGAGUUUGUUAAACUAUAUAAUUGUUGUCUGUCAUUCAUAAGAUUCGUCAUGCGAAUUCCAUAGACCAGAAUCUAACAUCCACAUUAUUGAAGCUUGUUUAAUUACGGAUUUGUUAAAGCAUGCGGUAUGUUAUAUGCUUUAAUUGUAUCUUGCCACAUAAUGUUGGAAAAUGAGUACUUGUGUACUUUUCAAGAAAUUAGAUACAAAAAGGAUUACACAUAUCUGAUUAGAAAAAAUAGCAUCAUAAUGUGUGUAACUUUGUGUAUAAAUAUUGUGUAGUGUAUUUACACCACAUUAUGAGGUGUGUAUACAGGCAAUUACAAAAUACUAUGUGCAUGUUGUUGAGUCUUUCUGGAAUUCUAUAUCCCUGUUUUAUAAAGCACUGAAUGGUUUGGGUCCAAUAUAUAUUUCUGAUCUACUGGUACCUUAUGAACCAUCCAGACCUCUGAGGUCAUCUGGAACAGGUCUGCUUUCUGUUCUCAGAGUCAAAACUAAAUGUGGAGAAGCAGCAUUUAGUUUUUAUUCUCCACAUAUCUGGAACAAACUCCCAGAAAACUGCAGAUCUGCCAAAACGGUCAGUUCUUUUAAAUCAAGACUGAAGAAUUUUCUUUUUGCUGCUGCUUUUAAAUCAAUCAUCAAGGUAUUUUAAUUAAUAUCUUAUGCUGCACUGUAACCUUUUUAAUCUUUUUUUAAAUUUUAUAUAAUGUGUAUGAACUCUUUUUAAUGUGUUCUUUUUAAAUGUUGCUUUGUGUUGCUUUUAUGUAAAGCACUUUGAAUUACACUGUUGCUGAAAAUGUGCUAUACAAAUAAAUUUGCCUUGCCUUUGUG